CUCCUGAUGGCACAGUUGGUAGCGCGUUGGACUGUAAUUGUAAUUGCUUGAUAUCCACAGGUCGUGUGUUCGAAUCACACUCAGGAGA
rfam:Rosellinia necatrix DNA, scaffold: Contig88, strain: W97.